UAUAAAAGGGACUAAUUUUGGAUGUUAUAAAGGAUGCCACAUAGGCAAAAUAUUCUCAUCCAUUCAUUCUGCCACGUUACUGGCAACCCAGACCAACAAAUCGUAAUUGCAGCCCAGCUAACCAAACCAUUAAUCUCAAGUAAUCGUCAUACAAGCACCGUGAUGCCUUCUCUCCUAUAUCGUGACAGCUCUGCUCCUCUCCGCCUAUCUUUUUCUGCGUCUCUACUCUUCUCUGACUCUCUCCAUUCCACAUCUGUUUUUUCUCUUUCCUCAGAUUCCACUCUCGCGAGAUCUCUGCUCAUGUCUCUCCAUCUCCACUACCGGCUCUGUCAAUUGUUGAAGAAUCGAAGGGUGGAGACGAACCAAUGGAGCGAUGUGGUGAUGACAGAGGAAGAGGGGAUUCAGUUUCUAAUGGUGGACGCUCGUCACAGAUCUUUUGCAGGUUAGAUUGUAGAUAGUUAAAACUAUGUAUGAAUUUUGAUUGGUCAAUAUUUAAAAAAAAAAUAACUUUGUUGUUGGUUUGAUGUAUGUGAGGAGGUGGGAUGUAAUCAGUUUCAGAGCGUUGCAUUUUCGACUGAUGGGAUUGCGACAACACCUACCAUGAGGAAACUGAAUCUCAUUUGAGUCACUUCGAGAAUGCACAUUGAGAUCUACAGAUAUCCAGCUUGGGGUGAUGUGGUUGAGAUAGAGACAUGGUGUCAGAGUGAAGGAAGGAUCGGGACAAGGCGUGAUUGGAUUCUUAAGGACAUUGCUAACGCUGAAGUCACUGGCCGUGCUACUAGUUACUUGGAUUUAUGUUAAAGAUAUAAUUUUCAUUUCCGAGCACUUGAUGUUCUGUCCUAAAGAACCCAGGUAAAAGGAACUUUGUGUCCAGGUCAAUGCAAUGCUUGCUGGUCAAUCAUAUCGUUAUAUUCAUGAAAUGCCCACUACUAUGUUUUAUGUAUAUCUUUGUAGAUUAGCAUUUCCUGAGGAGGAAAAUAACAGAAGCUUGAAGAAAAUCCCCACACUCGAAGAUCUAGCCAAGUACUCAAUCAUUGGACUAAAGCCAAGACGAGCUGAUCUCGACAUGAACCAUCAUGUCAAUAAUUUCACCUAUAUUGGAUGGAUUCUUGAGAGCAUACUCAAGAGAUUGUAGACACGCAUGAACUUUGGAUUACAGACGAGAAUGUCAGCAAGACGAUGUGGUGGAUUCACUCACCACCUCAAAGAAUGGCUCUGCAACAUCAGGCACACAAAGCCACAACGAUAGCCAGUUCUUAUCUGGAGAUGGUCAGGAGAUCAACUGUGGGACAACCCUGUGGAGAAAGAAGCCCUCCAGAUAGACAAUCCCUAAGCCAUUACGAGUCAAGGACCAAUCAUUUUCACAUAAACCUCUUUGGUUAUUUGAUUAAAAAAGUUACAUGACUGAUAACAGAUUCUGCCUAUUACAAAGUCUCAUAAAUUUCAAAUAA